rnacentral:lncRNA from 1 species
AGUUUGUUGAAAAGAAAUAUAGUUUUAUUUGUAUUUCAGUUUUAAUAGUAUAAAUUACAAAUUUUAAGAAUAUUUUUAUUUUAAUAUUAUAGUCUAAAAUUAUUGGAAACUGGAACAGUUAUAUGUUUAUUAUCAAAAUAAAAUAUUUUUAACAUGUGUAAAAGAUAUAAAUAAAGAGUAUGUAAACCGCGUGUAGCGCGGUUAAAAUACCUAGUAAUUCUAAUACCAUCUCAAACAUGUCAUGCCGACCACCAAAACACAUAUUAAGAUUAAAUCUCAAUUUUGAAUAAAAACACAUAAAAACGUGACAACACAAU